UACGUAGGGUGCGAGCGUUAAUCGGAAUUACUGGGCGUAAAGCGUGCGCAGGCGGUUCGUUGUGUCGGCGGUGAAAUCCCCGGGCUCAACCUGGGAAUGGCCGUUGAAACUGGCGAACUGGAGUGUGGCAGAGGGGGGUGGAAUUCCGCGUGUAGAGGUGAAAUUCGUAGAUAUUGGGAAGAACACCGGUGGCGAAGGCGGCUCUCUGGACCGUAACUGACGCUGAGGCGCGAAAGCGUGGGGAGCGAACAGG
rnacentral:rRNA from 1 species